AGCUGUCAGACCAGCCUGGCAGGUGUGAAGUUAACACAGUGUCAGAAGAGGCAAAAGGCAUGGGUUUUUAGUGUUUGCUGAGGUAUUUUGGAUCCCUCCGAGAGUCUGGUGAAACCCAUGGACCCCUUCUCAGAUAACUGAAGGCAAUGCUACAUUUCAGUUCUAGGUGCCCAUCAGACACCACUGACACCACAGAACCGAAGAAUGGCAGAGUCAGGAGGCCUGAAAACAUACCACGUUAGAGCUCCAAACGACCCAAAACACAAAACAGGCUUUGAGAAGAAAUCCUGUCUCCAUUCCCUGCUUUUUCUUUAUCCUUGCUGGAAUUGUGAAAAAGCUGGGCUUUUCUGUUUCCCCCAAUAGAGGCAUCUUGAGGAGAGUUAUUUAAAGGUCAAUUACAACUUGUCUAGGCAAAUUCUUAUUUUUCACAAAGGAAAACAAAUGGAUGGUGUAGGUACGAUACUGCUUUACAGAGUAACAACCAGCCUAAAGUGAUCCAGCGCCCUCUAACCCUGGCCAUAAUCCCAACUUAAUAAACCACAGUAGAUCAUAUAUUUGGAGUUGGAAGCUACAUUAGAAGUCAUCUAGUCCCGGGUUUUAGGGAAGUGAUGGGACCAGUUGCCA